UGCGACGCNGGCGGCUGCUCAAUNAAUGCAAGUCGAACGCACGAAGUUGAAGAGCUUGCUCUUUAACCAAGUGAGUGGCGGACGGGUGAGUAACACGUGGGUAACCUGCCCAUUAGAGGGGGAUAACAUUCGGAAACGGAUGCUAAUACCGCAUAGUUUCAGGAAUCGCAUGAUUCUUGAAGGAAAGGUGGCUUCGGCUACCACUAAUGGAUGGACCCGCGGCGUAUUAGCUAGUUGGUGAGGUAAUGGCUCACCAAGGCAAUGAUACGUAGCCGACCUGAGAGGGUGAUCGGCCACACUGGGACUGAGACACGGCCCAGACUCCUACGGGAGGCAGCAGUAGGGAAUCUUCCGCAAUGGACGAAAUCUGACGGAGCAACGCCGCGUGAGUGAAGAAGGUUUUCGGAUCGUAAAACUCUGUUGUUAAAGAAGAACAAGGAUGAGAGUAACUGCUCAUCCCCUGACGGUAUUUAACCAGAAAGCCACGGCUAACUACGUGCCAGCAGCCGCGGUAAUACGUAGGUGGCAAGCGUUGUCCGGAUUUAUUGGGCGUAAAGCGAGCGCAGGCGGUUCUUUAAGUCUGAUGUGAAAGCCCCCGGCUCAACCGGGGAGGGUCAUUGGAAACUGGAGAACUUGAGUGCAGAAGAGGAGAGUGGAAUUCCACGUGUAGCGGUGAAAUGCGUUANAUAUGUUGGAGGAACACCAGUGGCGAAAGGCGACUCUCUGGUCUGUAACUGACGCUGAGGCUCGAAAGCGUUGGGGAGCAAACAGGAUUANAUACCCUGGUUGUCCACGCCGUAAACGAUGAGUGCUAAGUGUUUGGAGGGUUUCCGCCCUUCAGUGCUGCAGCUAACGCAUUAACCU
rnacentral:rRNA from 1 species